rnacentral:lncRNA from 10 species
AUAAAACUGCAGUGCAGGGGAAAAUAAGCAGCCAUUGAUUUCCUGUGAAAGCCCCCCCCGAGUCUGGGGAAAGCAGCCAAUAUGGGGCACCAGCUGCUCUCUGCUGGAAAUCCUUUGUGGAGGGUAUGAGGAGUGGGAGAAGGCUAGAGAAAGCUGGUGGAUAUAAAAGAGAGAGGAAAAAAAAAACAAUCCUUAUACACCAGAACUCAAGACAGAAGAGCUGUGAUGACUGCCUGAGCCAUGCUUCAUUCCUCCAGCUAAGCAUGCUUCUUUCUCAGAAAAUGAAGGGGAUGGGAGGGGAGCUUCAACAAACCCUACCUUUAUUUAUGCAACACGUUGGGAACAGUUCCAAUGAGAAUUUCUCAUGCUCUUUCACGUUCCCUGAAUUCUGUUGGUGAGAAAAGGAUACUGAGGAAGACCACGAGGAAAAACCAGAAGAUGGCCAUCCACAAGCCUAGGAGAGUAGCCUCAGAAGAAACCAUCCCUGCUGACAUCUUGAUCUUGGACUUCUAGACUCCAGAAUUGUAAGAAAAUAAUUCACUGUUGUUUAAACCACCCAGUAUUUUGUGUGUAUUACGGCAGCUCUAGCAAGCUAAGGCAGAACAGUCGUGUAAAAGGAAAAGUUUCUGUUUACACAGUUCCAAAUGGCAGCCUGUUAUUCAAAUACCAACCACUGAAUGAGUCCUUCAGUCCCUCUGUAUUAGUCCAUUUUCACAUUGCUAUAAAGGAAUACCUGAGACUUGGUAAUGUAUAAGGGAAAGAGGUUUAAUUGACUCAGUUCUGCAUGGCUGGAAGGCCUCAGGAAAUUUGCAAUCAUGGUAGAAAAGGAAGAGGCAUGUCUUACAUGGCAGCAGAUGAGAGAGAGCAAGUGUGUGUCAGCUAAGGAAAAACUACCAUUUAUAAAACCAUCAGAUCUUGUGAGAAUUCACUCAGUAUUGCAAGAACAGCAUGGGGGAAACCACCCCAAUAAUCCAGUCACUUUCCAACAGGUCUCUCCCUAAACACCUGGAGAUUACAAUUCAAGAUGAGAUUUGGGUGGGGACACAAAGCCUAACCAUAUCACCCUCUUUCCCCACUGGUUUGCAUCCUUGUAGUAAAU